rnacentral:lncRNA from 1 species
AGAGUAUGUGUGUUCUUAUCUAACUAUCCUCAUUCAGGUAAACAGGCAGGUAACCCUAAACAGCUCAUCCCACCAACAUCCUGAGAGGCAGACAGGUAGACCUGCCCACCUGCCUUCAGCCAUGGGAAGCACACAUUACCUGCCCCAAUCCACCAGAGCAUCCCUGCAUCCACACAACCUAUGGAAAUUGAGAGCUGCCUCACAUCUGAAGCUGCAUGAACCACACACACAGCCACUGACAAGUCUCAGCUACACCCCACUAAGAGAGAUACAUCCUACCUUAUGAAUAAGCCCCAAAUUCUUGUAUUCUGGGCCACUGAGACAAUAACAGACCUCACAGACAUGGAUGGCUGGUGAAGAAUGUACAUGUAGACUCUACCACUGUGGCCACCUGGUAUAUCUAAUGCAAUCCAAUGAAAUCAACCCAACCAACACCAUAAAAUUAUUGCCAAAAUAAAAAUUUUAAUGCACUGUUGAGAGCCACAGCUGAAGGGGCCCCAGCAAACUUCCAGCUGAUUGGCUCACAGAGGCCCCAGCAAACUUCCAGCUACCAGCUGAUUGGCUUCUCUGUGGUGAUGCUCAUUGGGCUGUUUCCCCGCCCUUUCAGACCACAGAGCUGCUCAUUGGGGACUCUAUUGGCUCUGCCCACACAACUCAGCCAAUCGGCCUCAAGAGCAGGAGGAGGGGG